rnacentral:rRNA from 1 species
UACGGGGGGGGCAAGCGUUGUUCGGAAUUACUGGGCGUAAAGGGCUCGUAGGUGGCCAACUAAGCCGGACGUGAAAUCCCUCGGCUUAACCGGGGAACUGCGUCCGAUACUGGUUGGCUUGAGUUUGGGGGAGGGAUGCGGAAUUCCAGGUGUAGCGGUGAAAUGCGUAGAUAUCUGGAGGAACACCUGAGGCGAAGGCGGGCUACUGGGCCGAUACUGACGCUGAUGCGCGAAAGCCAGGGGAGCGAACGGG